UACGGAGGGUGCGAGCGUUGUCCGGAAUCACUGGGCGUAAAGGGCGCGUAGGUGGCUACUCAAGCGCGCGGUGAAAGCCCGGGGCUCAACCCCGGGUCGGCCGUGCGGACUGGGAGGCUCGAGCACUGUAGGGGCGGGUGGAAUUCCGGGUGUAGCGGUGGAAUGCGUAGAGAUCCGGAAGAACACCGACGGCGAAGGCAGCUCGCUGGGACGGUACUGACGCUGAGGCGCGAAAGCGUGGGGAGCGAACAGG
rnacentral:rRNA from 1 species